AUUGAACGCUGGCGGCAGGCUUAACACAUGCAAGUCGAGCGGAGAUGAGGUGCUUGCACCUUAUCUUAGCGGCGGACGGGUGAGUAAUGCUUAGGAAUCUGCCUAUUAGUGGGGGACAACAUUCCGAAAGGAAUGCUAAUACCGCAUACGCCCUACGGGGGAAAGCAGGGGAUCUUCGGACCUUGCGCUAAUAGAUGAGCCUAAGUCGGAUUAGCUAGUUGGUGGGGUAAAGGCCUACCAAGGCGACGAUCUGUAGCGGGUCUGAGAGGAUGAGCGGCGACGCGGGGACUGAGGCACGGCCCAGACUCCUACGGGAGGCAGCAGUGGGGAAUAUUGGACAAUGGGCGGAAGCCUGCUCCAGCCAUGCCGCGUGUGUGAAGAAGGCCUUUUGGUUGUAAAGCACUUUAAGCGAGGAGGAGGCUACCUGGAUUAAUACUCUAGGAUAGUGGACGUUACUCGCAGAAUAAGCACCGGCUAACUCUGUGCCAGCCGCCGCCGUAACAC
rnacentral:rRNA from 1 species